UCUUCCCUCUUUCUUCGUGCCUAAUACAUGCAAGUCGAGCGAACGGACGAGAAGCUUGCUUCUCUGAUGUUAGCGGCGGACGGGUGAGUAACACGUGGAUAACCUACCUAUAAGACUGGGAUAACUUCGGGAAACCGGAGCUAAUACCGGAUAAUAUUUUGAACCGCAUGGUUCAAAAGUAAAAGACGGUCUUGCUGUCACUUAUAGAUGGAUCCGCGCUGCAUUAGCUAGUUGGUAAGGUAACGGCUUACCAAGGCAACGAUGCAUAGCCGACCUGAGAGGGUGAUCGGCCACACUGGAACUGAGACACGGUCCAGACUCCUACGGGAGGCAGCAGUAGGGAAUCUUCCGCAAUGGGCGAAAGCCUGACGGAGCAACGCCGCGUGAGUGAUGAAGGUCUUCGGAUCGUAAAACUCUGUUAUUAGGGAAGAACAUAUGUGUAAGUAACUGUGCACAUCUUGACGGUACCUAAUCAGAAAGCCACGGCUAACUACGUG
rnacentral:rRNA from 1 species